rnacentral:rRNA from 1 species
GAUGAACGCUGGCGGCGUGCCUAAUACAUGCAAGUCGAGCGAACGGACGAGAAGCUUGCUUCUCUGAUGUUAGCGGCGGACGGGUGAGUAACACGUGGAUAACCUACCUAUAAGACUGGGAUAACUUCGGGAAACCGGAGCUAAUACCGGAUAAUAUUUUGAACCGCAUGGUUCAAAAGUGAAAGACGGUCUUGCUGUCACUUAUAGAUGGAUCCGCGCUGCAUUAGCUAGUUGGUAAGGUAACGGCUUACCAAGGCAACGAUGCAUAGCCGACCUGAGAGGGUGAUCGGCCACACUGGAACUGAGACACGGUCCAGACUCCUACGGGAGGCAGUAGUAGGGAAUCUUCCGCAAUGGGCGAAAGCCUGACGGAGCAACGCCGCGUGAGUGAUGAAGGUCUUCGGAUCGUAAAACUCUGUUAUUAGGGAAGAACAUAUGUGUAAGUAACUGUGCACAUCUUGACGGUACCUAAUCAGAAAGCCACGGCUAACUACGUGCCAGCAGCCGCGGUAAUACGUAGGUGGCAAGCGUUAUCCGGAAUUAUUGGGCGUAAAGCGCGCGUAGGCGGUUUUUUAAGUCUGAUGUGAAAGCCCACGGCUCAACCGUGGAGGGUCAUUGGAAACUGGAAAACUUGAGUGCAGAAGAGGAAAGUGGAAUUCCAUGUGUAGCGGUGAAAUGCGCAGAGAUAUGGAGGAACACCAGUGGCGAAGGCGACUUUCUGGUCUGUAACUGACGCUGAUGUGCGAAAGCGUGGGGAUCAAACAGGAUUAGAUACCCUGGUAGUCCACGCCGUAAACGAUGAGUGCUAAGUGUUAGGGGGUUUCCGCCCCUUAGUGCUGCAGCUAACGCAUUAAGCACUCCGCCUGGGGAGUACGACCGCAAGGUUGAAACUCAAAGGAAUUGACGGGGACCCGCACAAGCGGUGGAGCAUGUGGUUUAAUUCGAAGCAACGCGAAGAACCUUACCAAAUCUUGACAUCCUUUGACAACUCUAGAGAUAGAGCCUUCCCCUUCGGGGGACAAAGUGACAGGUGGUGCAUGGUUGUCGUCAGCUCGUGUCGUGAGAUGUUGGGUUAAGUCCCGCAACGAGCGCAACCCUUAAGCUUAGUUGCCAUCAUUAAGUUGGGCACUCUAAGUUGACUGCCGGUGACAAACCGGAGGAAGGUGGGGAUGACGUCAAAUCAUCAUGCCCCUUAUGAUUUGGGCUACACACGUGCUACAAUGGACAAUACAAAGGGCAGCGAAACCGCGAGGUCAAGCAAAUCCCAUAAAGUUGUUCUCAGUUCGGAUUGUAGUCUGCAACUCGACUACAUGAAGCUGGAAUCGCUAGUAAUCGUAGAUCAGCAUGCUACGGUGAAUACGUUCCCGGGUCU